ensembl:lncRNA
CCCCACUCUAAUCAUGUUAGAUCAUUGCACCUUCUGCUGCGGUAAGUAAUUUUUUAAAGAAAAUUAUAUCAGCAUUUCAUAAUUGCUAAGCUUUAACGUAUCCAUACUAUGUGAUGGUGGUAGAUCAGUUUUUUAAUUUGUUUUCUUUCUAGAUUGUUGACCUCUUUCACUGCCUCCUCCUUCCACACUGCCAAGUGUGGCCAUCAGCACCUUCAUUUGAGGUGCCAUUGAUGCUUUGGCUCUCUAUUCAAGUCAUUGCAUCCUGUGCUAUUGUUGUCGUCUUCCACUGUCUCCUCCCCAUCGCCAAGUGUGGCCAUCAGCACCAUUUCAAGGAGAUAUUGAUGCUUUGGCUCUCUAUAUGCAAAUUCAGAUCUGCUUCUAACCCUUACGCAACUACGCCUAGCUUGCUUAGCAUCUUUGGAAAAAAGGCCAGAACCCACGAUUUUUGAUCUACGAUCAUCUAUGAUUUUGGAAACUUGAUACACUAUUAAUACUUGAUACACUAUUUAUACUUGAUACCACAAAGAUUUACACCCAAUCUUACAACCUGAAAAAAAUCAAUCUCAAACCACUGAAAAAAAAAAAAAAAAAAAAAAAACUGGUAAGAAAACUGAGCUGCAUCUUCAGAAAGAGUAGGUAAAUUGACCUCUUCACUGUUUUCACUGUCUGUAUAUUCUUCAAGGACCACUGAUUUGACGACUACAUCAACUUUGACAUAACGAUAAGAUAUAUUACAUUUUAUAUAUCAGUAAAUAUAUUCAAUAAUCAGUAAUUAUUAAAUACAAUAUUCUUACAUUUACUACAUUUACUUCCCAGUGUUGAAAAGUCAAAAUGCCAAGAAAAGGAAAGAGGAGUGAAUCACAGAAACAGCGCAGA